CAAGCCCUUUUCUUGCCCCUUCCACUACGCAGGGGCUGACCCCGAGUGACCCUCAAAAGUAUUCCGGAAAGAUUUAUUAUCGUGUGGAAGCCGAAGUACCGGCGAUCCUACAACCAACCUGGACCUGGAUCGCUUGGACAUGUAUGUGGCCAACGCCUCAGUGGCGAUGAAGACUUUCAGAAGCGACUUCGCACUCUUCGUCACGUGGGAGAACGUUUCUACUGAAGCAGCCUGUCCUAGCGGGGGGCAAUUGUCCGUCCAAUACAUUCCAGCUGGUUCUCGUGGCCAACACUCAACACACGUUCGCCAUAUUUGGCUACUACAAGCUGGACGUCCCCUACUCUGCCAAUCAACUGGCUGGAAUGAACGGCGGGUAUGGACGGGGCUGGACCGAUGUCAUUCCUUGCUCCGUGGCCUGCGCGAGGGAGACGAAAAUCAUCGAAGGCCGCAUCAGGAAUAUGAUCAACACCUCGGGUAGUGAUGUGGAAGGCCGCUACAUUCUUUUGGUCAGCGGUGAUAUCAUCGUUCGUGGAGGCUGUCUGCCGAGUUCAUUGCUGAAAGCGACAGGUGAGGUGUCUCCCCGGGCGGUGGGGAUGCUUGGUGGAGAGAUGUUGUUAGUGUCUGGAAGCUGCCAGCCACCCGGAUCCAAAAUCUUUUGCGUUUUAACAACAAUACGAUAAGUGAAGGGGUGAUGGAGACAAAUAUGCGUGGACGAUGUCCUGUUCCUAUGCUUAACGUUCGAGGCAGGAUACGGUUGGAUCUGUCCACAGAUAACAGAACGUGGACACACCCCACCGUCAUCACCGUCGUUCUCCCUGGUCGGGUUAAACCAGUUGUGGACAUAGGCAUUGUACCUGCUUGGCAGCAGCUGAAUCCCCAGGAGCUGGUGGUGAAGUGGGACCCCACACUCUUCUCCAACAACAGCCUGGCAACAGUGAACAUCGAGCUUCUUGAGUACAGAGAAAUUAACGGCAAAUCCUGAAUUCCGACCUCUGGUCACAAUUGCUGAACGCCAGAGGAGCAGUAACAGCGAAUACAAAUUUAACCCGGAUACAUUGUCCUGCUCGAGGGAGGACUGUGACAACAGUGUGCUUGGAGUUCUCAAAGUGACGGUUCUACCCGAUUACAUAGAUGCGGCUACACAAAGACAAUUCGUCGCCUUCGGUCCAUUGCCGCUGGGCUGGUACAUCAACUCCGCAAUGGAGAGCAAGCUGGGCAAAGACUGGCCAGCCCAGAAAUGCUCGGCCUGGAGCCAGGAGGACGGUCGACAGACGGGGUGGCUGCAGCAGCUCCUCCCAUGCCCCUGCACGUUGACUCAAGCUCUGGCCGACUGGGGGCGCUGGCAGCCCGACAAUUGGGUGCAACAUGUUUGCCGGAAGUGUUUGCAACUACCAUCAAGGCUCCAAACAUUGCGUGCGCUCUGUGCAGCCAACGUCGGAGGGAGCAGGCAACCAGUGUUUUUACAACAAAGACGGACUGCUACAGUACGCCGCAGACAGUUACCAGGGGUCGACCCCAGACCGCUCGCACAGCUGGGGGGCCGCCCCCUAUGGGAAGCCCAACCUCGUACCCGACUUCUCGCACUGGCAGCAUGACGUCAUCACCUUCUACUACUGCUGUUUGUGGACUAACAACAGGGAGUGCGACCGCUACAUGGAACGGCGACCAACUCGCGACUGCGUCGACUACAAGUCGCCUUCUUACGCAACAGCCUUUGGAGACCCACACAUACAAACGUUUGAUGGAACGAACUACUACUUUGGAGGGGAGGGAGACUUCUGGCUUCUUCAAUCCAGCAGUGUCAACAUUCAAGCCCAUUUUCUGCCUCGUUCUACUGAAGUACUUCAGCUGAAUUCCAGCUUCAUUUACCCCACCGUUAUAAAGUCUGUAGCCAUGCAAUCCACGGGCAGUGACCGGGUGGUCAUAAACCUGGCCCAGCCCACGGGCUGUCCAACCGCAAGCUCGAUGUUCUCAUCAACAAUCAUUAUCGUCGCUUUUUCGACGAUUCCAGUUUGUUCUGGCGGGACUUUAGAGGAGUGUCUGUCAUCAACAACGAGCCGGUCGCGGUGGAUACCAAGGACAGGCAGCACAGCAACUUUACUGUUUUGUUCAAGAACGGGGUGGGCGUGCAAGUGGCGGAACGGCAAGGAAUGAUACACCUAACAGUCGCACUCCCUCCGUCCAGCGAGAGCACAUCAGGACUUCUCGGUACUCGGGAUGGGAACAAAGCGAAUGAUUUCAUGACACCGGAUGGUCAAGUGGUCUCCUCUACGCAGGACAUUGAUAUCUACCGUUCGUUUGCUCUGAAGUGGAAUGUCAGUGAAAAUGGAAUCCUUAUUUCACUUUCCCCGGAACGCAGAAAGUGAAAAAAUUCCUCUCUUCGGUACACCGUCCGAGUUUCCUUACAAGCCCGGUCAGACAAAACCUUCCCAGUACACCGUGUCUAGUGUCUGUGGAAACAGCGAAGCCUGCAAACGAGACUUCUAUGUCACAAAUAAUUCCAGCAUCGCACGUGACACCCUGCAGGCUGAAGCUGCCUUUCAGAGCCUGCGCCAGUCACAGACUGAAGUCCUCUCCUGCGGACUGUUGGACAUUCCCAUGGCCGCCAAGUCCUCCUACAACUACCUGGUGGGAAGUGAAGUGAGACAUCACUGGCUGUCGGCCCAACAACACCAAAGUCGUGUCCAGCGGCCCACAACGCUACGCCUGCAGCUCCAACCGCCAGUGGACUCCAUCCCCCGACAAGAGCCUCUGUGGUUACGUGAAUGAGAGUCAAGCGAGUAGCAUCGGCAUGAUCGUCGGAAUCGUGGUCGCUGUUGUCAUUGUCAUUGUGGUCGUUAUCAUUGUCAUCGUUGUUGUGUAUCGACGUAAGACAAGGACUAAAAGCCUCAGCCCGGAUGAGCAGGAGAAGCCUGUGCCCCUCAGGAGAACCGUAGGGACCGGUGAUACGAAGGUGGAGCCUGGUACAGACGAAAAGCUUUUGAGAGGACUCGUGAACAAAUCAGAGGGGGAGCCGGGGCCGAGACAAUCAGUGCCUGUGUAGUUAAUACACCUGUGUGCGUGUCCUCCUACUGAGUGUAUGCAUGUGCACCUGUGUGUAUGUGCGUGAGAGAGAGAGAGAAAGAUCGCACCUCAUGAUUCUUUUCACCUUCAUACUUAAGCAGAGUGUUUGCUGUUUGCGUAAAGACAGGGAUGAAUGUUUACUUGUACUGCUAUACUUCAGGCAGCAUAAUAAUUCUUGACUUACAAUUAAAGAUAGGCGUAGGAAUAAAUGAAUGGAGAAAAAUGAAAGUUGCAUGUUUACCUCGACUUCAACUGAAGUACACUUUUUAUGUACAUCACAUGACCUUUUUUAAAAAAAAUUGUGAAUAAACUUUGUUGUUGAAAUGUCACUUUUUUCAAUUUAAGAAUAUCUAGUGACCAAAGAUAAAAAAGAGGAACUCGACCAAACUUUUUAAAUUGUACUUGUCUCAACCAUUUCUGCAUUUUUAUAAUGUUCAUGCUUCCUUCAUUUGUUUUGUGUUCCACAAUAAAAGUUAUUGUGUAAUUAUUCAAGCUAAUUUUUUCCUUGAUCUCUUUACUGUGUGAGCAGCAAGGUUGUGCUGCACUGGUUCAGGUUCGCAUGAGUCUAAACCUAUACAUAUAUAAAAAGGAAACGGGCUCGUUCAAGCAGUCUGUAAAUAAGACUUUGCCAUCCACGCCAUUCAUACACUAGUAAAGCUCUCCUAGCGCACGUCUCAAAGGGGACCUGCAAAUGCAUGCCCAGAAAACUAACACCAGGAAAUAAUAAUGCUAUAAUAAUGUAAGCUUUCAAAGCCCUGUAUCUCAACUUAAGCCAUGCUCUCCGCUCAUUACAAACACCGAAACACAGACAAAAUUCCUUUAGCAUCUCUGUAAAGUUGAUGGUAAUGCCAGGUCGUUCUGCCGAAUGUCAUUCAUUGACACUGAUGUCGGCGAGACAGAUCGGCAAGUCAUUUGACUAGAUCAGAAAAGAUCAAUAAGCAGAAAAAUUAAUCAAAUCGUCAGGAGAACGUCCAGAUGAUCAAAAAGCAGAAAUUACAGUAAAAUAUUGAAGCACAUGACUGUAAGGCCCUGAUAAAAAGUCUGUCGCAGGGAUGACUUGUAAGCAUGAAGAAACUGUGACAAUGGUAGCCAGGAAAAGACUAACGGCGAGAAGUGAGUUGAUAUCAGGACAGAGGGAGAAAAAAAGAAAAGCCACAUGUGACUAGACAGCCCAACAGAAUGCCAAUGACGUUAUAAAAUGUACAGGUGGGUACAAUAUGCACUAAAAGCACAAAAAAUCCAAGCAGGAAAUAAAAAUGCGAAGAUGUUUCCUCAUCUGCUAGACGAAGUGACACCUAUCCCUUAAAUUAUAAAGUCGAAUUUAUGUUGCAGACGCUAAACAAGACUAUCAAAGCAACCCAUUUACUGAAAACAAUUAUUUCUACUCACUGAACACUGCACAAUAUGUGUUCACAAUUAACAUGGUACAAUAAAUUACAGUGCAUACAUGUAAAAUGAUUCACGUCACCAGUUUACGAGUAACAUCUCACAAAACUUCCAUAGAGAUACUAGAUAUAAAACAUUAAUACAGAUGAAUUGUUUACAGUGAAAGUAACAGCUAGGAGAAUAAUUACAAAAAUGGAUUGAUAAAACAAUUGAAAGAUUGUGUAAAUCUUUAAAAUUUAUAUUACCCGUUACUACGUUUUAGUGAAAACAAAUAUUGCCUAUAGGACUUUUUCUGAGAAUUAUGCAUGCACGUGACCUUUACCCAAACGAUGGUUUGAUCUCUUUCGGUUUUCAAUUUUGCACAACAAUUGGAGCACAUUUUCAAACUACUGUAUUCAUAUCUCUAGAUGGCGCUUCCUCGAAUAUUCAGAUACAACUGUAACCUUUGACUUCAGAGUAGGUGUGCAUGGCUGACCCACAUAAACCAGAAAAGUCUUCAGUGACAAACGUUUCGCGCACCUACUAUUGCGAAAAAGUCCUUAAUUACUUUAUUGAUUAUCGAAGUUUAUGGUGUCGUUCUAAAAUAGAAGGAUACUGAAGUUGAGUUUUUUCGCAUGUAGCCUGAUUCUCAAUGGUUGCGUUCUAUGUAUUUCUGUCUUACCGUUCUUGGUUCAUAAGACGUACGUGCGCUGCCACGUACGCUUAAAAAAAAAAAAAAGAAAGAAAGUGGGGUAUGAGAAAAUUUAAGGAGACAAGAAACCAGUAGAAAUCUAGAUAAGGUGUCCACUCGUCGUUCACGUGCGUCUAGCACCUAAAGAUGAUGAAAUCUCCUCCUCUGUAUACGUUAUGCAUAACAUCGUAUGUGCUUGUAAAUGACUUGGAAAACAAUCUAGUGUACAAACAGCUUUUGGUAGUGAACCUCGAUUUUCUGAACCCAGUAAUUGAGUAGGAAGAGUUACAGGCCUUUGUGGAUGGAGAAAAAGCAUAUGAGUCUUUGGACAGUCGGGUGGGGUUUACCAUCCGCAUAAAGGUCUCAUCAGCCCCAGUAAAUGAGGUAGAG
rnacentral:misc_RNA from 1 species